UUACUACUCUCUCCGUCCAAAAAUACUUGUCCUAGAAAUGAUUGUACUUAGACUUAUUUUAGUUAUAGAUUCAUUUUAUCAAUUUUUAAAACAAGUAUUUUCGGACGAAGGGAGUAUAAA
rnacentral:pre_miRNA from 1 species